rnacentral:tRNA from 2 species
GGGGCCAUAGCUCAGCUGGGAGAGCACCUGCUUUGCAAGCAGGAGGUCGGCGGUUCGAUCCCGCCUGGCUCCACCA